ensembl:lncRNA
AAGUGAACUACGAUGGAAAUCUAGCUGAUGUCUCAGCGAAUCUCAUGGGAGCACUGCAGAUACGCCUUCAGAGUCAACCUUUAAGACAAGCCGAUCCGAUUGCAGAAGAGGGACCCUGUGGUCUGCUGGUUAGAGAAAAGUCCUGGAAGCCUGAGCGGGCCCACGGUUUACAGCAUAGCUGAGCAACUGACUCACUCUGAAACCCAGGGUUGCAUCGUUUAACCUCACGGGGCUUGUUGUCCAUCCAGCUGGAAAAUGUGGAAAGAUGUGAGGCUGAACUGAAAAUCAUUUGCGGCCCUGCUGAUUUGCUGGGCCACAGGGCACAGUUUGAGACUGCUGGUCUGACUGAGUACCAGCCCCGUGGGCUGUGACUGGGAAAGGCACACCUUGCAAGAAGCAACUAGAGUUCAUGCUGAUGAGAAUCUCCUCUACAGGAGAGAGAAGCCUCUCUGCAGAAUCAGUGGCUGAGGAUUUCUAGUCUCUGUUCCUGUCUGGUCUCUGUCAAUAAUCAGAUUUCCCUAAAUGGACCUUCAGUGGAUCUUAGUAGUAUCUAGAUCCCCAGCUUGCCAGCUCAUGGUGACUGUGCUCGGCAGGGUAAAUACCCUGCAGUGCCCCUUGCACCUUGUUCCAAGGAUCUGCAGAGCCUGUGGGGACUGAGGGUCAGAUCAGAUUUGCUGAACCAGAGAAGGACUUGAGGGAACAGAGGAGCAAUCUCUGGUUUCCAAACAGGAGUUAACAUAAAACACAUAUCUUUGAAUGGAAAGAAAAUUGAUUGAAAUUUGGUGAGUUAAGUUAAAAGGGAAAACAAUUCGAGGAAGGGACUGUUUAUCUCAUAGGAAAUUGACAUUUGGUAUUGCCUUCAGGUUUCUGAAAGGCAAUAAAGUAUCCCAGGCAUGAUGGCUUCCGAUCUGGGAACUUAAAAAAUGUUGGUAGCGGGAGACUGGCCUUUGAAGGUGACACGUCUGAUAAAACCUACAAAAGUCUUGAUGGGUACUAGGUAGUUCACUAUAAGCCACAAGGGAAUUUCCAAACUGCCCGGGAACAC